rnacentral:rRNA from 1 species
UACGUAGGUGGCAAGCGAUACUCGGAAUCACUAGGCGUAAAGCGCAGGUAGGCGGUUUGGUAAGUCUUUUGUGAAAGCUCCCGGCUCAACUGGGAGAGGUCAAGGGAAACUACCGGACUAGAGUGUGGUAGGGGAUACUGGAAUUCCUGGUGUAGCGGUGAAAUGCGUAGAUAUCAGGAGGAAUACCUAUGGCGAAAGCAGGUAUCUGGGCCACCACUGACGCUGAGCUGCGAAAGCUAGGGGAGCAAACAGG